CGCCGCGUGAGUGAUGAAGGUUUUCGGAUCGUAAAGCUCUGUUGUUAGGGAAGAACAAGUGCAAGAGUAACUGCUUGCACCUUGACGGUACCUAACCAGAAAGCCACGGCUAACUACGUGCCAGCAGCCGCGGUAAUACGUAGGUGGCAAGCGUUGUCCGGAAUUAUUGGGCGUAAAGGGCUCGCAGGCGGUUUCUUAAGUCUGAUGUGAAAGCCCCCGGCUCAACCGGGGAGGGUCAUUGGAAACUGGGAAACUUGAGUGCAGAAGAGGAGAGUGGAAUUCCACGUGUAGCGGUGAAAUGCGUAGAGAUGUGGAGGACACCAGUGGCGAUGCGACUCUCUGGUCUGUACUGACGCUGAGGAGCGAAAAGCGGUGGGGAGCGGAACAGGAAUAAGAUACCUUGUAGUUCCACGCCCGUAAACCGAUGAGGUGGCUAGUGGUUAAGGGGGUUCCGCCCCCCUAAUGCGUGCGACCUUA
rnacentral:rRNA from 1 species